CUUAUACUCGAGUAUAUACGGUAUAUAUAUAUAUAAAUAUGUACACACACACACACACACACACACACACACAUACACACUCACAGACACACACACUCACAGACACACACACACACAUACUCACAGACACACACACAGAUACUCACAGACACACACACUGACACACACACUGACACACACACACACACUGACACACACACACACACACUCACAC